rnacentral:rRNA from 1 species
GGGUUCAAAAAUACCGACACUAAUGCACUGGAUCCCAAUAGAACUUCACAGUUAAGCGUGUUUGGAGAUUAGUACUAGGAUGCGUGACCUCCUAGGAAGUCCUCGUGUUGCACCCG